AUGAACGCUAGCUACAGGCUUAACACAUGCAAGUCGAGGGGCAGCAUGAACUUAGCUUGCUAAGUUUGAUGGCGACCGGCGCACGGGUGAGUAACACGUAUCCAACCUGCCGAUGACUCGGGGAUAGCCUUUCGAAAGAAAGAUUAAUACCCGAUGGCAUAGUUCUUCCGCAUGGUAGAACUAUUAAAGAAUUUCGGUCAUCGAUGGGGAUGCGUUCCAUUAGGUUGUUGGCGGGGUAACGGCCCACCAAGCCUUCGAUGGAUAGGGGUUCUGAGAGGAAGGUCCCCCACAUUGGAACUGAGACACGGUCCAAACUCCUACGGGAGGCAGCAGUGAGGAAUAUUGGUCAAUGGACGAGAGUCUGAACCAGCCAAGUAGCGUGAAGGAUGACUGCCCUAUGGGUUGUAAACUUCUUUUAUACGGGAAUAAAGUGAGGCACGUGUGCCUUUUUGUAUGUACCGUAUGAAUAAGGAUCGGCUAACUCCGUGCCAGCAGCCGCGGUAAUACGGAGGAUCCGAGCGUUAUCCGGAUUUAUUGGGUUUAAAGGGAGCGUAGGCGGACGCUUAAGUCAGUUGUGAAAGUUUGCGGCUCAACCGUAAAAUUGCAGUUGAUACUGGGUGUCUUGAGUACAGUAGAGGCAGGCGGAAUUCGUGGUGUAGCGGUGAAAUGCUUAGAUAUCACGAAGAACUCCGAUUGCGAAGGCAGCCUGCUGGACUGUAACUGACGCUGAUGCUCGAAAGUGUGGGUAUCAAACAGGAUUAGAUACCCUGGUAGUCCACACAGUAAACGAUGAAUACUCGCUGUUUGCGAUAUACAGUAAGCGGCCAAGCGAAAGCGUUAAGUAUUCCACCUGGGGAGUACGCCGGCAACGGUGAAACUCAAAGGAAUUGACGGGGGCCCGCACAAGCGGUGGAGCAUGUGGUUUAAUUCGAAGCAACGCGAAGAACCUUACCAAAUCUUGACAUCCUCUGACCCCUCUAGAGAUAGAGUUUUCCCCUUCGGGGGACAGAGUGACAGGUGGUGCAUGGUUGUCGUCAGCUCGUGUCGUGAGAUGUUGGGUUAAGUCCCGCAACGAGCGCAACCCUUAAGCUUAGUUGCCAUCAUUAAGUUGGGCACUCUAAGUUGACUGCCGGUGACAAACCGGAGGAAGGUGGGGAUGACGUCAAAUCAGCACGGCCCUUACGUCCGGGGCUACACACGUGUUACAAUGGGGGGUACAGAAGGCAGCUACACGGUGACGUGAUGCUAAUCCCUAAAGCCUCUCUCAGUUCGGAUUGGAGUCUGCAACCCGACUCCAUGAAGCUGGAUUCGCUAGUAAUCGCGCAUCAGCCACGGCGCGGUGAAUACGUUCCCGGGCCUUGUACACACCGCCCGUCAAGCCAUGAAAGCCGGGGGUACCUGAAGUGCGUAACCGCAAGGAGCGCCCUAGGGUAAAACUGGUGAUUGGGGCU
rnacentral:rRNA from 1 species